CUAACUUCGCCCACAUUAUAUAGAAUCACCCCAACAAUCAAAUCUCAAGCAGCCGAAUCCUAUCAAAAUCCCCGCCUUUUUCUAAUUCUAAAACCCAAUUGAUCUCUCAAAUUUCUUCACUUUCUCAAUAGCAUCUCUCUAUGAUCCUCGGUGUUAAUAUAUAAAACAAUAACACAAGGUAGGAUACGAAAAGAUGCAAUAUCGAAGGUACUUCUGGACAUGCAGUUUCCGAUCUAUGGAUUCUCGCAUUUUCUCGUAAGUUCCACAGUUUUAAAAUUUAUUUAUUUUUGCUCAAUGAUGAUUGAUUUGCUUUAACCACACUGAAAAUAGAGAUCUUGGAGUUUGGGUUUUUCGAAGCCUUUUUCUCUAUGGUUUAAGGCGAAUUGCUAAGCUUUUUGUGUUUGAUUGUGGCUUCAUGAUUCUGUUUUCUAAGGGUUGAGGUUAAUGUUCCUUUUGUUACAUAUACUUUUCUUUUGGAUUAUGGAAGAAAGCUUUUUGUCAAACACUUGGAAGUUAUUGGUUUUUUUUGUUGGUCUUAAAUUUUAGAGAAGAAGAAAAACCCUUGCUUUUUUUGAUCUCUGAUGUGGAAAACAUUGGCCUUUCAACUGAGAGCAAUUAAUCGCUUCAUUCUUUGUCUUUUUUUUUUAUCCUAAGAUUUUUUGUGUUUCUGAUUUGGACAUUUUUAGUUAUUUCAUCUUUGAUGGUUUUGGCUUCCAAAAAGUGUUCCUUGAUAGAAAAAAGCAUUUUGUUUUGAGAAAUUGAUGGAAAUUGGGAAAUGAUGACAGCUUAAUUGCUGGAUAGUAUCUGAGCAAAGCUUUGAAGAUUUUUUUUUCCUUUUGCACGUCAGUCUGAUUCGAACUUCCAAAACUUUCAUCUCUACCGUUAAAACCGGUUAACAAAUAUCUAGGAUUCAGGGGACGAUGAUGAUAACAUAGAUAGUUCUUUUAGUUGUGGUGCUUCUAACUAUGUUCAGAGAUCUAAAAGGUUUGCAUUUAGAGGUCCUGGAGAGAAUUUUAGUGUCCAGGAUUUUGAAUUAGGUAAUAUCUAUGGGCGUUGGUUCUUCCUCAAAGGUUAGCUUUUUCUUUUCUUUGGUAGUUGUUUUUUAUACUUGAGUUUGAAUUUAGUCAUAGCACUCUAUCAAUUUGUAAAUAAGUAAAGAAGAAUGAAAUGGCAUUACUCUAUGUGCUCCUUGCUAUUGAUACAGUGGACCACGCUGUUUAGUAAUAAUUGAAUGGCAGAUGCGUCGCAUGUUCUUUCCUAAUUUCACACUGCUUAAGAAAUAGGUAAUCAUUUGAAUCCCAGUCCUCCAUAUCGCUUCACUAAUGCUGCCUUUUUGUGUUUGUGCGCUUCCAUAUGAAUCUUGCCCUGCCCUGAUUUAAUUAUACGAGUUACUUUGCUUUUGAUCAUAUUGUUACAUUGCUGCAUCUUUUUAGUUAUACUAUUAUAUGCAUAAAUUUUAAUAUAAAAUUUUCCGAUGAGAUGCCUUAAAUGCAGGGAAUGAAGCUCAUUAUCAAUGGGAUAAUGGCAAGAUUUACCCAUGUACUUCAAUAAAUUUGUCAAUGUAGUAUCUAUACAUUUAAUUUUUCCAGUUUGGUACUUGUACUUUGUUUCCGUUAACCAUUCUUGUACUUGACCAUAACGGCGUUAGAUUUUCUCCUGAUAUGGCAUGUUGCCCAAUCAGGGGCCGCUACUUGAUGUCCUUCGGAGCAAUUCUAUCUUUUUCUCCUUUUUUUUUUUCAUAAAAAAUCAGAUCUCUUUUAAAUUUUACUUCAAACUCUUCUUCC
rnacentral:lncRNA from 1 species